rnacentral:rRNA from 1 species
ACUGCUCAGUAACACGUGGCCAAACUACCCUGCAGAGGAGCAUAAUCUCGGGAAACUGAGGCUAAUACUCCAUACCGCACUCACGUUGGAACGACCGAGUGCACCAAACGCUCCGGCGCUGCAGGAUGUGGCUGCGGCCGAUUAGGUAGACGGUGGGGUAACGGCCCACCGUGCCGAUAAUCGGUACGGGUUGUGAGAGCAAGAGCCCGGAGACAGAAUCUGAGACAAGAUUCCGGGCCCUACGGGGCGCAGCAGGCGCGAAACCUUUACACUGCACGACAGUGCGAUAAGGGGACCCCAAGUGCGAGGGCAUACAGUCCUCGCUUUUGUGUACCGUAAGGUGGUACACGAAUAAGAGCUGGGCAAGACCGGUGCCAGCCGCCGCGGUAAUACCGGCAGCUCAAGUGAUGACCGAUUUUAUUGGGCCUAAAGCGUCCGUAGCUGGCCGCGUAGGUUCGUCGGGAAAUCCAUCCGCUCAACGGAUGGGCGUCCGGCGAAAACCACGUGGCUUGGGACCGGAAGGCUCGAGGGGUACGUCCGGGGUAGGAGUGAAAUCCCGUAAUCCUGGACGGACCGCCGAUGGCGAAAGCACCUCGAGAAGACGGAUCCGACAGUGAGGGACGAAAGCUGGGGUCUCGAACCGGAUUAGAUACCCGGGUAGUCCCAGCCGUAAACAAUGCCUAUUAGGUGUGGCACCGACUACGAGUCGGUGCUGUGCCGUAGGGAAGCCGAUAAAUUGGCCGCCUGGGAAGUACGUCCGCAAGGAUGAAACUUAAAGGAAUUGGCGGGGGGA